rnacentral:rRNA from 1 species
UACGUAGGUGACAAGCGUUGUCCGGAUUUACUGGGCGUAAAGAGCGCGCAGGCGGUCGAUCAAGUCGAGUGUGAAAGCUCCCGGCUUAACUGGGAGAGGUCGUUGAAUACUGGAAGACUUGAGGAAAUGAGAGGGGUGUAGAAUUCCUGGUGUAGUGGUGGAAUGCGUAGAUAUCAGGAGGAAUACCAGUGGCGAAAGCGGCACCCUAGCAUUUUUCUGACGCUCAUGUGCGAAAGCGUGGGGAGCGAACGGG